GCACUGCUGAAGAGUCCAAAACAGGACGAAACAGCUGUCUAGUGC
rfam:Echinostoma caproni strain Egypt genome assembly, scaffold: ECPE_scaffold0004309